CCAGGUGACGUCACAGGAUCAUCCCUUCCCAAUCUCCAUUUCUGGGAAGUCUCUUUUGUCUGGAGACGAGGAUGUGCUGGGACCCGAGCGGAUGGAGGUCUGUGCGCCCCUCAUCCAGUUCCCUACCUUUCCGCCUUCACAGCGAUCCCCUCCGUUACCCCCAUCUUACCCUCAUCUUCCGGACGGACCCAUCCUGAGGGUCCUGAGGAGCCUAAACCGCAGUGAGUGAGGGGAGAAUGAUUCUUAAUCCUGCAAAUUGGAAUCCGUUUCUUCUAUAUUGGAUAUGCAACCAACCAUAGAGAUUUUUGCUACUAAGGUCUUUUUCCUCAGGGAAGAAAAGAAAACUGAGCCCAGCUGUUUGGUGCACAUGUGUAACACCUGUGGACCUCUCUCCUCCUGGAAGAGGACAGGCGAUGGUGUCUUCUCAUACAUCAUACAUGAACUGGAUGGAACAGAAGAGUUCCAUAUCGCAGUUUGUUUUGAAAAUAUAAAAUAAAUAAGUGGCCACGAGACCAAAAUAUCUAGCCUCCAGACUCAAAGACAUGCUACGAGGUUGAAGGGACCAAAUUUCUAUUCCUUUGGACAAACAAGUGGCACAUGAUGUAAGAGGAUGAACUAGUUUCUGCUAUACUGUCUUUCAGUUUUCCCCAGAAGUUUUUGUAUAUAGUAAAUUAUUUUCCAAAAAGAUGGGAUUUCUGUUUUUCUCAAAUAGUAAAGUAUUAUGGACAUUGAAUACUAUGUCUUCUAUACCUAAAUCAUUCCAUGGAAACACUAUUCUAUUUCUUCUUUUUUUACAUAUUCAUUUUUUAAACCAAUUAAAUAUAGCAAAAGAAAAACAAAACAAUAGAAAAACAUUGUCAUAUGCACAAAAGAAUGUGAGAGGAUUUAAAAUAUAAAAUACUAGAUUGCUAGUUCAAAGAAUCAUGUAAUUAAUAGUACACACUUUGUUCAGAACUGUCCAUCUAUCUUUUUGCUUUCUCUUAGGUUUACUUUUGUUCUCUGCUGUGCACUUUUUACAUUUUUAUUUUUUCCCUUUUUUCCCCCACAGCAUCUCCCAAGAUGGGUACAAUUAAGUUCUGAUAUGUUUGUACAUAAAUACAUGUAUACAUGUACAUGGAUACAUA